UACGGAGGGGACUAGCGUUGUUCGGAAUUACUGGGCGUAAAGCGCACGUAGGCGGAUGUGUCAGUCAGGGGUGAAAUCCCGGAGCUCAACUUCGGAACUGCCCUUGAUACAGCACGUCUUGAGUCCGGAAGAGGUGGGUGGAAUUCCUAGUGUAGAGGUGAAAUUCGUAGAUAUUAGGAAGAACACCGGUGGCGAAGGCGGCCCACUGGUCCGGUACUGACGCUGAGGUGCGAAAGCGUGGGGAGCAAACAGG
rnacentral:rRNA from 1 species